AAACUUAAAUGAAUUGACGGGUCCCCGCACAAGCAGCGGAGCGUGUGGUUUAAUUCGUUGCUACACGAAGAACCUUACCUGGGUUUGACAUAGCAGUGGUAGGGAAGCGAAAGCGGACCGGCCCUUCGGGGAGCUGUUACAGGUGUUGCAUGGCUGUCGUCAGCUCGUGUCGUGAGAUGUUCGGUUAAGUCCGCUAACGAGCGCAACCCGCGUUGUGUGUUACAAGUGUCACACAAUACCGCCGGUAUUAAGUCGGAGGAAGGUGCGGAUGACGUCAAGUCAGCAUGACCUUUAUAUCCAGGGCUACACACACGCUACAAUGGUCGGCACAAUAGGUUGCCAAGUCGUGAGACGGAGCCAAUCCUCCAAAGUCGGCCUCAGUUCAGAUUGCAGGCUGCAACUCGCCUGCAUGAAGUUGGAGUUGCUAGUAAACGCAGGUCAGCUAUACUGCGUUGAAUACGUUCCCGGGGAUU
rnacentral:rRNA from 1 species